rnacentral:rRNA from 1 species
AUGGAUCCUAGCUACUGUCGCAGAUCAAAAAGUGAGGAUGAGUUUGCUCUUUUUGUUCUUCCUACUUUAGGAGAACACUCAUAUUCCUCAAGGAGACCUAUGCACACUUCAAUACUCACAGGCGCACGACGUGUAAAUGAAAUUUUAAAUGGACAUGAAGACCUAUGCAAAAGGCACUUCAGAAUGGAGACUGAUAUAUUUCAAGCUUUGGUUCAGAAAUUGCGCGAGAAUGAUCGCCUUGUUGAUGGAAGAGAUGUCUCAGUAGAAGAACAAGUGGCUAUAUUUUUGUAUGCAUUAUCUAAGAAUGCAACAAAUGAUACUUUGGCAGAUUGGUUUCAGCAUAGUGGACAAACAAUCAGUUACUAUUUUGGUGAAGUGCUCAGUGCAAUUACUGAACUCUAUUCUGUAUACAUACGUCCACCUUCCCUACACCCGCAUCCAAUCUUGAGUAAAGAAAAGUUCUACCCUUUCUUUAUGGAUUGCAUCGGCGCUAUAGAUGGUACACAUAUUCCAUUGAAACUACCUGCUGAUGAGCAAGAACCAUAUCGCAAUAGGAAGCAAACAUUGUCGCAAAAUGUUAUGGUAGCAUGUGAUUUUGAUCUGAAGUUUGUGCAUGUGCAUGCUGGUUGGGAGGGAUCGGCUUCAGAUGCAAGAGUCCUACAGGAUGCACUUAACCAUGGUUUUCAAGUACCCCCCGGAAAAUUUUACCUUGUAGAUGCUGGUUAUGCAAACACACCACAAUUUUUGGCUCCAUAUCGUGGUACUAGGUACCACUUACAAGAACAAGGAAGAGCUCGCCAAAGGCCAAGAAAUUACAAGGAAUUAUUCAACCUACGACAUGCACAACUCCGAAAUCAUAUCGAGAGGAUUAUUGGUAUACUAAAAAUGAGAUUUCUGAUAUUGAGAGUGGCUUCACAUUACUCGGUGACCAAACAAAUUGACAUAUCAGUUGCUAGUUGUGUGCUGCACAAUUUCAUAUGUUUGCAUGAUGGAGAUUUUUCAUGGCCUGAGAAUACUACUGUGGAGAUUGAUCAAGAACAAUUUGUUGAUGUGCCAAGUGGAGACCACAACUAUCAUAAUGAUAUACAUGCUUUUAAUUACUCUAGAGAAGCUGGGAAUCAAAAACGAGAUUAUAUAGCACAGCAAAUGUGGGCACAAUAUGUAUCACGAAGAUCUCAGAAUAUGUAA